rnacentral:lncRNA from 1 species
CACUACUAGAGUCGGCAUCUUCUGACGAAUUGAGUUCGUAGUCAGUUUUGAUUCCCUUGCUCUUUUUCCGUGACGACAACGCUGCCAGGGUGCGUCGUCCCCACACCACUUUGCUUUCAAUACCGUGUUCUCUAUCCACGCCUCCUCUAGAAACAGAAUGUUUAUGUCGCUCUUCCACAAGCGAUUUUUUCCAUUCCCUGCAUGCUACAUCGAACGGCGAGCAGCUCCUCGAAGUCCGAUGAACCGGGCAUCCUGUCCCCCCUGUCAUCUUUCGGGAAGAGUCGACGCCUUGCAGGCUGCCAUGGCGAUUGUCCCCCCACUGACGUCUGCGUCUCUCAAUGGCUGUACUUGAGCGCGCCCGAACCGCAUGUGAAUACGAAGCUCCACAGACCGCUGAGUCGAGCGCAUGCCCGUGUCUGUCGCAACCAAAGACUUCGUCAUCGCCUCUCCACGAUCGUACCCCUCGCUUCGACGCCGGGAACCUCUCGUCGUCUGUGAGAUACCAGCCUUGUUCCGUUCUUGCCCAAACUUGCACAACGUCCCGGUUAACAAGGCGGCAGGCCCCAUGGAAACCUGCGUCCCACCCACGACCGCCACAGCUUCUGCGCUCAUUCGCAGCAUCCUCCCUAGCCGCGUAAGUAUGUUGUCCCUGGUUAUUGCUAUAAAGCCUCCGUUUUCCCGUUCCACGUCGGACGUUUUCCUCCGCACUGCAAGCAGCACUGCAUAGGGCACAUCGACUGGCAUUCGACAGGUCAGUCCCAGACGCCCGUCUACUGCUGCUUCUGUCCUUGCACGGAAGUGCUGAGAGACGCCGUCGGUGGCAACCGGGGAAACGGCAUCGCUGCGUCGGCUUUGCGCCAUAGACCCGCCGGCUCCUGGCGGCCAUGCUUGUGCAUCGCACAACGCAUGAUUCAGAUUUCCGUGAGGCAUCGAUUCUCUCUCUGCCCUCCUUGUCUUUUCGUUCCCUCUGUCGACAAGUAGUCCCAGGGCUGGUUAUCCCCAAGUAGUCCUUCAGCCGCGCAACACCUCCCUGCUUUCCGAUUGCAAGCGACACGCUGCUCAGUCUACUGGUCGCCCCGCAUUCGCUGCUGCCGCUCUGACUUUUCGCCCGUGCAAGCCUUGAGCCCAAUCCAACGUAACUUCGCGCGGUGCUACUCCCUCUCUUCAUACGUGAAGUUUCAGAAACUUGCUUCCCAUGUGACCCACCUGGGCCGUGUUUACAGUCCGCUUCCACAUUGCUCCAUACGUUGCUUUCACGUGGAAGUGCGGUGCUGGACAGAGACUGCUGUCUAGACGAAUAGGCAUCCCCCCUGCUGCACACACCUUGGACCUUCUUUUGAGAUGAAACAGAGAGCAAUGGAGCAGAAGGCCACCCGAUAUCAAGGUGCCGUAUACAACUGCAGCUGUUUGCAAGUCCAUGGAGGCGUUGAUGAUCGGUUCCACAGCAACCUGGGGCCCCGCAGCUCGUCCAUCUUCUUGGUAUUCCCUCUGCAUCAACCUUCCGAUCCCUAUCUCGCGUCCAAAGGCGACAGAAGUUGCGGCUGCGACACUCGCAGCAUCCUUUCCAGGCAGAUGCGUCGACACACUCUGCUGUGAUCCAGCCUUCCGGACACUUCAGGCGCAAGGCUGCGAAGGAUUCCGUAACGCUGAGAGCAAUAUCGUAGACCUGAUGAAACACGUAGGUGAUAGCAUGCAUCGCAGGCAGAUGCAUCGAACUGUAGGGAAAGCUGUCAAGCUACACCACGUCAAAUUCCACUAAAAUAUCCGUAAUGUGUCAACAAAAAGUGUGGCUCUCAUCGGUCUGACCGGAGGCGGACUACGGCGUCUACGCCAUCGAGGCCUGACAGUCCUCCGCAGUAACGUCAUAAGAGAAGGUAACGAAGAGAACGGCCCUUUGAGUCCCCAAUUAACUUCAGUUUAUCUUCCCACCUUCACAGAAGACCGACAACCAGCGAUCGAUCCAGUGAUGUCGUCGCUGGUGACCUCCAGGCUCGCGUGGACAAGCAAGGGACGAGUCGCUUCCCUCCGCCACCGAAGAUGCAGUGCCUGGGCGGAGGACGUGAGAAAGUCAGCAGGCUGCAACAUUCAACCUUCCCACUGUCAUUUUCCAGUCCCACAACCGGAUGAGCGCAGAAUGUGCAAGCGUGCGACGCAAUAGACCUGCCACAUAGAAAUCGUCUGGAACGUCGGAAGUCCUGCAGAGGUUGCAAGUUCCGGCGAGGAGAAACAGCAACUGUAUUCAUCCUCCUAUCGUUGAAUGUCGUGUAUGCUUCGGCUCCCUCUUCGGUUCGGAUUUGCCCUUACCUCGUCCUGAAUUGGAUGCUGAGCAAGCGCUCCGCGAACGUCGUCGUCCAUGAGCUCGGCAACGUGAAUGUGAGCUCGGCAAAGCUGGGGGAGUGCUUGAAUGUUGUAUUCUGGAAUAUCUUUCAUCCGAUGUACGAUCUCUACUACUGUCGCCUUACGCUCUUCCCCCGUACCACUGCCUCGAAGCUUGUCAGUAAAAUUUGAAAGUCCCGUCCACCACGACGUUUUACCUUCUGCAACUGUACGGACGCCUAGUGAAGGUGCCGGGCUGUAGAAACCCCGCACUGAGCGAUCUAUAUGUGGCAUUCCUCCUUCCAGCGCUGCCACGAUUAAGUCUCCCCGCUGUUGCUUGCCUGGUCCUAUUGUGCUUACACUUCCUCCAUCGCCUUCGCUCAACGGGAUAUCCCCCUUCUGUUUCGCACAGCUUUGUCCCGCAUCUUUGCUGACAGCACUUUCAGAUCGGUCACAUGGGUGAGCCGUUUGAGGCUGACGAACGGUUCUCAUGCGUUCACUAUCUAUUGCCCCCUCUCCUGACGCUGUGGCAGUGCUGCUUCUCCGACUACCCGGACCUCGAAUGAGCUCGCUUGACCAGUGAACACCCGCCUCAAUCAUUAACGGCUUAUUUCCCCCCUGCUGGGGGUCACGUGACACUCGUGUGGAGGGAAGGGAAGCCGUUUCUGAAGAGGCUACUGAGCCCAGGAGAGGGUGGUCGUGCUCGUCCAGGAAAUAUCUCCGGGACAAACUGGAUUGUCGCUUCCGGAUGAACAAUGGUAUGGAGCUACUUCCGCGGUUAACGGAAGAUGAGCACCCGACAACAGCCCCCGCGUCGAAUUCGGGGCACGCAUAUGUGCGUAAACUGUUCCUGCUAGCCAACUGAAGAGACUGAGAUUCUCGUGCCGAUUCCACGACAGCACUGCUAUCCUUGUGGCAAGCAACGGGGCCCUGAAUCUUGCUGCUUGAUUGUCUGUCCCGAACUGAAGAGGUCCCA